GAUCAGUGGCUCGAGGACGACGCUGGCGGCGUGCUUAACACAUGCAAGUCGAACGGUAAGGCCCUUCGGGGUACACGAGUGGCGAACGGGUGAGUAACACGUGGGUGAUCUGCCCUGCACUUCGGGAUAAGCCUGGGAAACUGGGUCUAAUACCGGAUAGGACCAUGGACUUCACGGUUUGUGGUGGAAAGCUUUUGCGGUGUGGGAUGGGCCCGCGGCCUAUCAGCUUGUUGGUGGGGUAAUGGCCUACCAAGGCGACGACGGGUAGCCGGCUUGAGAGGGUGUCCGGCCACACUGGGACUGAGAUACGGCCCAGACUCCUACGGGAGGCAGCAGUGGGAAUAUUGCACAAUGGGCGCAAGCCUGAUGCAGCGACGCCGCGUGAGGGAUGACGGCCUUCGGGUUGUAAACCUCUUUCAAUAGGGACGAAGCGCAAGUGACGGUACCUAUAGAAGAAGCACCGGCCAACUACGUG
rnacentral:rRNA from 1 species